GUCUAUGGCCAUACCACCCUGAACGCGCUGGAUCUCAAAUAAUCUUGGAAGCUAAGCAGGGUUGACUCUGGUUAGUACUUGGAUGGGAGAAUCCAAAGUCUCAACU
ensembl:rRNA 5S_rRNA 5S ribosomal RNA